CUACGGGCGGCUGCAGUGGGGAAUAUUGGACAAUGGGGGAAACCCUGAUCCAGCAAUGCCGCGUGUGUGAAGAAGGCCUGCGGGUUGUAAAGCACUUUCGGUUGGGAGGACUGCUUCUAGCACUAAUAUUGUUGGAAGUUGACGUUACCUUCAGAAGAAGCACCGGCUAACUCCGUGCCAGCAGCCGCGGUAAUACGGAGGGUGCAAGCGUUAAUCGGAAUUACUGGGCGUAAAGCGCGCGUAGGCGGCUAGAUCAGUCGGGUGUGAAAGCCCCGGGCUUAACCUGGGAACUGCAUCCGAUACUGUCUAACUUGAGUACAGGAGAGGAGAGUGGAAUUCCACAUGUAGCGGUGAAAUGCGUAGAUAUGUGGAGGAACACCAAUGGCGAAGGCAGCUCUCUGGCCUGAUACUGACGCUGAGGUGCGAAAGCGUGGGGAGCAAACGGGAUUAGAUACCCCUGUAGUC
rnacentral:rRNA from 1 species